UACGUAGGGGGCAAGCGUUGUCCGGAAUCAUUGGGCGUAAAGCGCGCGUAGGCGGCCCGGUAAGUCCGCUGUAAAAGUCCAGGGCUCAACCCUGGAAAGCCGGUGGAUACGGUCGGGCUAGAGUCCGGAAGAGGCGAGUGGAAUUCCUGGUGUAGCGGUGGAAUGCGCAGAUAUCAGGAGGAACACCGAUGGCGAAGGCAGGUCUCUGGGCCACUACUGACGCUGAGGAGCGAAAGCGUGGGGAGCGAACAGG
rnacentral:rRNA from 1 species